rnacentral:rRNA from 1 species
CACGUAGUUAGCCGGGGCUUCUUAGUCAGGUACCGUCUUGUCUCGUUCCUGCUGAUAGAGCUUUACAUACCGAAAUACUUCUUCACUCACACGGCGUCGCUGCAUCAGGGUUUCCCCCAUUGUGCAAUAUUCCCCACUGCUGCCUCCCGUAGGAGUUUGGGCCGUGUCUCAGUCCCAAUGUGGCCGUCCACCCUCUCAGGCCGGCUACUGAUCGUCGCUUUGGUACGGCCGUUACCCUGCCAACUGGCUAAUCAGACGCGGGUCCAUCCCAUACCACCGGAGUUUUUCACACAGGAGCAUGCGCUCCCGUGCGCUUAUGCGGUAUUAGCACCUGUUUCCAGGUCGGUAUCCCCCGGUAGUGGGGCACGGUUACCCGACGCGUUACUCCACCCGUCCGCCACUAAGAUACUCAUUUCCAAAGUGACAAGCCACUCCUUCCAUAAGCACUCCCCGU